GUCCACGUGGCAGUGGACCAGAGCCAGAAGCCUGCGAGGCCAAUGGCGGCAGCCGACCAAAAUCUCGUCACCAUGACGAGCAAGCCGGCCGC
rnacentral:sRNA from 1 species